AGUGAACGCUGGCGGUAGGCCUAACACAUGCAAGUCGAACGGCAGCACAGUAAGAGCUUGCUCUUACGGGUGGCGAGUGGCGGACGGGUGAGGAAUACAUCGGAAUCUACUUUUUCGUGGGGGAUAACGUAGGGAAACUUACGCUAAUACCGCAUACGACCUACGGGUGAAAGCAGUGGAUCUUCGGACCUUGCGCGAUUGAAUGAGCCGAUGUCGGAUUAGCUAGUUGGCGGGGUAAAGGCCCACCAAGGCGACGAUCCGUAGCUGGUCUGAGAGGAUGAUCAGCCACACUGGAAGUGAGACACGGUCCAGACUCCUACGGGAGGCAGCAGUGGGGAAUAUUGGACAAUGGGCGCAAGCCUGAUCCAGCCAUACCGCGUGGGUGAAGAAGGCCUUCGGGUUGUAAAGCCCUUUUGUUGGGAAAGAAAAGCAGCAGGUUAAUACCCCGCUGUUCUGACGGUACCCAAAGAAUAAGCACCGGCUAACUUCGUG
rnacentral:rRNA from 1 species